AGCCAUGCAUGUCUAAGUAUAAGCAAUCUAUACUGUGAAACUGCGAAUGGCUCAUUAAAUCAGUUAUCGUUUAUUUGAUAGUACCUUACUACUUGGAUAACCGUGGUAAUUCUAGAGCUAAUACAUGCUAAAAACCCCGACUUCGGGAGGGGUGUAUUUAUUAGAUAAAAAACCAAUGCCCUUCGGGGCUCUUUGGUGAUUCAUGAUAACUUAACGAAUCGCAUGGCCUUGCGCCGGCGAUGGUUCAUUCAAAUUUCUGCCCUAUUAACUUUCGAUGGUAGGAUAGAGGCCUACCAUGGUAUCAAUGGGUAACGGGGAAUUAGGGUUCUAUUCCGGAGAGGGAGCCUGAGAAACGGCUACCACAUCCAAGGAAGGCAGCAGGCGCGCAAAUUACCCAAUCCCGACACGGGGAGGUAGUGACAAUAAAUACUGAUACAGGGCUCUUUUGGGUCUUGUAAUUGGAAUGAGUACAAUUUAAAUACCUUAACGAGGAACAAUUGGAGGGCAAGUCUGGUGCCAGCAGCCGCGGUAAUUCCAGCUCCAAUAGCGUAUAUUAAAGUUGUUGCAGUUAAAAAGCUCGUAGUUGAACCUUGGGCCUGGCUGGCCGGUCCGCCUCACCGCGUGUACUGGUCCGGCCGGGCCUUUCCUUCUGGGGAUCCGCAUGGCCUUCACUGGCUGUGUCGGGGAACCAGGACUUUUACUUUGAAAAAAUUAGAGUGUUCAAAGCAGGCCUUUGCUCGAAUACAUUAGCAUGGAAUAAUAGAAUAGGACGUGCGGUCCUAUUUUGUUGGUUUCUAGGACCGCCGUAAUGAUUAAUAGGGAUAGUCGGGGGCAUCAGUAUUCAAUUGUCAGAGGUGAAAUUCUUGGAUUUAUUGAAGACUAACUACUGCGAAAGCAUUUGCCAAGGAUGUUUUCAUUAAUCAGUGAACGAAAGUUAGGGGAUCGAAGACGAUCAGAUACCGUCGUAGUCUUAACCGUAAACUAUGCCGACUAGGGAUCGGGCGAUGUUAUUCUUUUGACUCGCUCGGCACCUUACGAGAAAUCAAAGUCUUUGGGUUCU
rnacentral:rRNA from 1 species